rnacentral:rRNA from 1 species
GACGAACGCUGGCGGCGUGCCUAAUACAUGCAAGUAGAACGCUGAAGGAGGAGCUUGCUCUUCUGGAUGAGUUGCGAACGGGUGAGUAACGCGUAGGUAACCUGCCUGGUAGCGGGGGAUAACUAUUGGAAACGAUAGCUAAUACCGCAUAACAGUAGAUGUUGCAUGACAUUUGCUUAAAAGGUGCAAUUGCACCACUACCAGAUGGACCUGCGUUGUAUUGGCUAGUUGGUGGGGUAACGGCUCACCAAGGCGACGAUACAUAGCCGACCUGAGAGGGUGAUCGGCCACACUGGGACUGAGACACGGCCCAGACUCCUACGGGAGGCAGCAGUAGGGAAUCUUCGGCAAUGGACGGAAGUCUGACCGAGCAACGCCGCGUGAGUGAAGAAGGUUUUCGGAUCGUAAAGCUCUGUUGUAAGAGAAGAACGAGUGUGAGAGUGGAAAGUUCACACUGUGACGGUAUCUUACCAGAAAGGGACGGCUAACUACGUG